CAGUCGCCGCGGUAAUACGGAGGGUGCAAGCGUUAAUCGGAAUUACUGGGCGUAAAGCGUGCGUAGGCGGUUCGUUAAGUCUGUUGUGAAAGCCCCGGGCUCAACCUGGGAACGGCAAUGGAUACUGGCGAGCUAGAGUGUGUCAGAGGAUGGUGGAAUUCCCGGUGUAGCGGUGAAAUGCGUAGAGAUCGGGAGGAACAUCAGUGGCGAAGGCGACUAUCUGGGCCAACACUGACACUGAUGCACGAAAGCUAGGGGAGCAAACAGGAUUAGAUACCCCCGUAGUCCCUGUCUCUUAUAC
rnacentral:rRNA from 1 species